rfam:Dipodomys ordii contig_2849, whole genome shotgun sequence.
GGGAAUGUGGCUUAGUGGUAGAGUGCUUGCCUAGCAUGCAAGAAGCCCUGGGUUCAAUUCCUCAGUACCA